rnacentral:rRNA from 1 species
GACGAACGCUGGCGGCGUGCCUAAUACAUGCAAGUAGAACGCUGAGGGAGGAGCUUGCUUCUCUGGAUGAGUUGCGAACGGGUGAGUAACGCGUAGGUAACCUGCCUGGUAGCGGGGGAUAACUAUUGGAAACGAUAGCUAAUACCGCAUAAGAGUAGAUGUUGCAUGACAUUUGCUUAAAAGGUGCAAUUGCAUCACUACCAGAUGGACCUGCGUUGUAUUAGCUAGUUGGUGGGGUAACGGCUCACCAAGGCGACGAUACAUAGCCGACCUGAGAGGGGAAUCGGCCACACUGGGACUGAGACACGGCCCAGACGCCUACGGGAGGCAGCAGUAGGGAAUCUUCGGCGAUGGACGGAAGUCUGACCGAGCAACGCCGCGUGAGUGAAGAAGGUUUUCGGAUCGUAAAGCUCUGUUGUAAGAGAAGAACGAGUGUGAGAGUGGAAAGUUCACACUGUGACGGUAUCUUACCAGAAAGGGACGGCUAACUACGUG